CGUUAUGGCGAGCUGUGCGCAGGAGGCUUAGCCCUGCCGGUUCCUACUUACCGGUCUGCGAACCUGCGUGCAGUUCGCCACCCUU
rnacentral:antisense_RNA from 1 species